rnacentral:antisense_RNA from 1 species
AGUCUUGCUCUGUCACCUACACUGGAAUGCAGUGGCACAGUCUCAGCUCAGUUCACUGCAAUCUCCACCUCCCAGAUUCAAGUGAUUCUCAUACCUCAGCCUCCUGAGUAGCUGGGAUUACAGGAAAAAAAGUCCUUGGGAAUUGAGAAGCCAAUGAGAUUAGUCGUUCAAGCUGAAGUCAUUCUAUCUGCUAGCUGUCUGGAGCCACUGAAGCUGUGGGCGAACAGCAACAAGUUUAAGCUACAUCUGCACACUCUGCGGUCCAGAGACCAAGAAAGAAGCACAAGGAUCCUGCAGAGUCUUCCGAAGCCCAAGCCAAAUAUAUGAGGCAGGGAGCUAGAGAAUGUGGAGGAAGUGGUCAGUAGGAAAAGGAAAGGGAACAGACAUUCUCCUUCAGAAACUUGAGGUCCAGUCCCUGAACUUUAGCUGGCCCCAAAACUUGAGCAAGCUCUAAAAAGCAGAACAUCUCCCACUUAACAGUUUAUUCUGAGAACUGGCCAACCACAGGAGGGAAAAUCAUAUCUCCAGUUAAAGUGCCCUGAUCAUGCCAUCUGCUCAUCUUACCCCCUUCGCCCUGCUCCCACACAAAGUUCCUGCUAGCCCUGUUUACAUCUUCUUUUUUAAACUCUAUUUUUAGACAUUUGAAGAUUUCCGUGGUCAGAGGGUCUGUAAUAGUCUUUUUUGAAUAAAGCUGCUCCUUACCU